UGGAAUAGUCACUGCUGGUUGGUCUUGGCCUGAUAGUUCAUGUACCCUAAGAUUAGCAGAGAGAACAGGUUUAGGGCUGGAUGCUGGAGGGUUCCAGGAGCUCAGAGGGAAUGGUUCAGACAGCAGUGAAUGUCAUACCUAUCAGGCUCUGGGGCAAAUGCUGGCUUCUCUAGGCAAGAAACCCCUAGCACUGGCUUGCUAAUAUUCGACAGAAAGGGACUGAAGGUCCCACCUGCUGGGGACCUCUAACAAGGAUGGCCCACCUGCUGGUGACAGCAGGGAAGGUGUCACUUUCACGAGUGAGGCAUCUGGAUGUCAGCUUUGAGAUCACCAAGGA
rnacentral:lncRNA from 1 species